CGUAUACAUAAAAUUUUAUUUGCCACUCAGCAGAAUAAAAUUUUUGAAGAGUUAUAAAAUAUUCUAAUUUUUAGUAGUACUAAAUAUGCAACGUCAAGACAAAAAAACACGAGGAACUAGAGGAGGUAAACAUGCCAAACAGAAAACGUAGUUUAGAAGGAUGGAAAGUUUUCUUUUGGCAUUGGCACGAGAGUGCACUAAUACAACAACUCUGAAGACUAAUGUUGAAUCCACAAAUUCUUCUGGAGAGAAUGCUCCAACACCAAGCACCAAUCUAUCUCAGAUUCCAUCAAAAGAUAUUUCUUUGGUACAGUCUAGCCAUCUAGAUACUAAUUUAGAAUCAAAAACUUAUUCUAAUGAAGGGAAUGCUCCAAUAUCAAGCUCCAAUCUGUUUGAUCAGAAUCCAUCAACGAGAUCUACUUCUUUGAUACAGAUUAGUCAAUCAUCAAGUAAUUUAUCUUCAACUAAUUCAUAUAAUAACCGUAAAUCCUUUAGAGGAACUCGAGCUGGCAAAAUUACUAAAGAAUAUCACCACGCCAAAAGCUUCUCUAUCUUCUUGUGGAGUUUGUUGAAUGAAUGUCAUUCCAGACAUAAUACAUGAAAUAUUAAACUAAUAAAAACAAUCAUGUUUUUUAUUAUUUUGUAAAAAAACAGUAGUAUUGAGAUAAAAAAAAUUUCAGAAUGGUGUGUUUUCUAAAUCUUUAUAAAAAAAUGUUUGUAAACAAUAAUGUGAAAAAAAUUCUAAAUAUGAGGAAAAAUUGAAAUUAUACUGUAAAAGUAACUUAUCAGCAGUAAUAAAAAAAUCUAAAUACAAAUCAUUAAUAAAGACACUGUAUGUAAGUAGAAAAAAACUAAUUUUGUUUUAAUUAUCGAGCUAAAUUUGAAGGAAAUCGAUAUAGAUAAAAAUAAUACAAAAAAAUACCCACUUUAAGUUUUCAUAGCAAAUUAAAAAAAAAUCACGUGUAUAAGCGGUAU